ensembl:lncRNA
AACGCAUUCAUCUCAAGGCCACGGUGUUCGGGUAGAGCUCAAACAGACAGCUUAAACACUGAAUGCUACGUGCUGCAAUAUGUGUCUGCAGAAUCUACUUGUGCUUCAAAAUGACAGAAAGGCAGCACUCAUUCAUUUAGAUGACACUGAGCUACAUAAAAGGAAAAUAUUUUUCCAGGCAGAAAAGAAACAAAUAACAAUGUGCCCCAUGCAUAAUCUGCACUGCAGAUGUACACACCUGUCGUGAGGGAAGCAAGUACUCAGAGGUCUGUGGCACGGCCUGCCUGGUACAACCUGGUGGCUUCUGCCACAUCAAGCCCAGAAAGCCCUGGGUCCGCCCCACCUCUCAAAUCAGGCAACUGCAAAAACGGUGCACUCUGGAUCUACUCUUCUGGAGCUUUCUGUAGCAAUAAGAAACAUCCUGUUGGUUUGUUGUCGAAUAGAAUCUGAGUGUGCUCUCGCUGGCAGCUCCAAGGGCAAAACAAGGAUCCAUCAGCCUGUCUGCAGCAUUGCUCGCUGUGCCUGGCACGAGAGCUGGGGGGGCCAAUGGCCGCAGGGAUGUAAGCCCAGUCGAGGAGAAGAAUGUGUGUCCUUCUGCAGGUCUAACUUUCCUCAUAAAGAUGCACUUUUCACAUUACAGGAGCUCUCCUGAAAUAAAACGCAAUGGAGUCCGCCCAAGUACACACAGGAUGCCAGCCUCAAGGAGCAAACGAUCAUUGCUGAUUAUAAAACAGAGUCACGGUACACAGACACAAAUGCACAUGUAAAUUCAUAAGAUUUUAUAUAUGUAUAUGCACACCCCAUAUGAACCAGGCAACUUUCCAGUCUCCCAUAACUCCUAGGACAUGUGACCAGUGAAUUGGUGAGCUUUUGUUAACACAGCCUGCAUUGACUGAGCACUGUGCUAUAUGUAACCAACAAAUACUCUGUGUUAUGGGGGGGCACCACCUUGUUUGCUGAAUGGUCACUGUCAUCUGCUCAGAUUUAUCAUUGUUUCUUCUUUGUCCUCUUCUUGUCCUUGUCUGUAGGAGGGACUUCCUAUGCAGCCCAAGGAGUUCCAUGCUGUAUUACUGCGAGGGACGUCACCUUUCACAGCUGGCUCCCGAGCAGCAGCAUAAUGACAAAUAAGAGAGAGGAAAAUAGCACACAUCAAAGAAGAGGAAGAACAGCUUAGAACACAAAUGUAAACAAGAAGAAAAUGUCAGAUGCUGCCUAGAGAGUAUUUUUCUCCCAGGUGUUGGACAUUUCAGUUUUGAGAUCAAGUUUGGUGUUCAGAAGAUUCUCCGGCAACACAGCAAGGAGCACCGUUCGAGUUCAUGGCCCUAGAUGAAAGAAGAGAGAAAGAGAGGCCUUUGGCUUAACGACAGUGGCACUUUGCAGACCUGCAGUGUUGGGGCAGGGUGCAAGCACGAAGUUCACCACCUAUUGGCAGAGCCGUGUGGUAUCUCCUAUGGAGAGAUGAGAAAAACCCUCAAGAAACUUUGAGAAAAGAACAGUGAAACCCCAGAGACUGGAACACGUGUUCCACACUGCACAGAAUGCCCCCGGGGCAUUGUAGUAUUCGUGGUGACAGUUAGGAUGGAAUAUAAUGUCUAGCAGGGUGAGGACAUGGCCAAUUUUCUUGGCUGCUACUACAUACCUAAAUAUAAACGACUGCACCAUUUUGAGAUUUUUUGCCUGAUAAAAUGACUAAAUAACUUCUUUUGGAUCCUUGUAAUAACCACGGGCACGGCCUUUACUACGGGGUCCCGUGACCUUAAAGUCAUUCCUCAGCUUCUCUGUCUGUGCAACAGCACAGGAGUAUUUGUGUCUUUUUGGAGUUUUAAUGUCUUCAAAGCACUCAGAGAUUUUUCAAGCACGCCUUGC